UACGUAGGGUCCAAGCGUUGUUCGGAAUUAUUGGGCGUAAAGCGUGCGUAGGUGGUUCGUUAAGUCUGUCGUGAAAGCCCCGGGCUCAACCUGGGAAUGGCGAUGGAUACUGGCGGGCUAGAGUGCGGUAGAGGAGAGUGGAAUUCCUGGUGUAGCGGUGGAAUGCGCAGAUAGUCAGGAGGAACACCGGUGGCGAAGGCGGUUCUCUGGGCAUUACCUGACGCUGAGGAGCGAAAGCCAUGGGGAGCGAACAGG
rnacentral:rRNA from 1 species